UGGGCAGCUCGCCCAUGCGUGCGAUUAAAAGGGAACCGGGUGUGAAUCCCGGGCAAUCCCGUUGCUGUAUUCCCCCGAGCCACAGGCUGUGCCGGCAUUGGCAGGCUGUGUGGCCGGUGUCCGUGCGGACAACUCGGCGCGCCGCGCUAUUUUGCGCGAAAGCCACUGGGCGAAAUAUCCCGGGAAGGUGUGCGUCGCUUGGGUAAGCCAGAAGACCUGCCGCAGCCA
rnacentral:ncRNA from 1 species